rnacentral:rRNA from 1 species
UACGAAGGGUGCAAACGUUGCUCGGAAUUAUUGGGCGUAAAGCGCACGUAGGCGGCUUUGUAAGUUAGAGGUGAAAGCCCGGGGCUCAACUCCGGAACUGCCUUUAAGACUGCAUCGCUUGAAUCCAGGAGAGGUGAGUGGAAUUCCGAGUGUAGAGGUGAAAUUCGUAGAUAUUCGGAAGAACACCAGUGGCGAAGGCGGCUCACUGGACUGGUAUUGACGCUGAGGUGCGAAAGCGUGGGGAGCAAACAGGG